GACAGAGGUCCCGAGCGUUAGGCGGAAUCACUCGGCUUAAAGCGUGUGUAGGCGGAUCGUUAAGUACCUUGUGAAAUCCCACGGCUUAACCGUGGAACUGCUUGGUAUACUGGCGAUCUUGAGCCACUUAGGGGCUACCGGAACAAAUGGUGGAGCGGUGAAAUGCGUAGAUAUCGGGAGGAACACCAAUGGCGAAGGCAGCUCGCUGGGACGGUACUGACGCUGAGACGCGAAAGCGUGGGGAGCAAACAGG
rnacentral:rRNA from 1 species